rnacentral:rRNA from 1 species
AUAGCUGGUUCUCCCCGAAAUAGCUUUAGGGCUAGCGUCGGAAAGAACCUUAGUGAAGGUAGAGCACUGAAUGUGUGAUGGCCCCAUCCCGGGGUACUGAAUACAAUCAAACUGCGAAUGUCAUUAAGGAUGUCCGGCAGUCAGACUGUGAGUGAUAAGGUCCAUGGUCAAGAGGGAAACAGCCCAGACCGCCAGUUAAGGUCCCAAAAUACAGGCUAAGUGGAAAAGGAUGUGGGGAUGCCCAGACAACUAGGAGGUUGGCUCAGAAGCAGCCAUCCUUUAAAGAGUGCGUAACAGCUCACUAGUCGAGUGACCCUGCGCCGAAAAUGUACCGGGGCUAAGCCUGAUACCGAAACUGCGGAUUGUAGGAAACUAUAGUGGUAGGGGAGCGUUGUAUACGAGCAGAAGCCGUACCGUGAGGAGCGGUGGAUUGUAUAGAAGUGAGAAUGCCGGUGUGAGUAGCGAGAUGUAGGUGAGAAUCCUACACACCGAAAGCCCAAGGAUUCCAGGGGAAGGUUCGUCCGCCCUGGGUAAGUCGGGACCUAACGCGAGGCCGAAAGGCGUAGUGGAUGGAAAGCAGGCGAAAGAUUCCUGCACCCGUAUAUGGAGCGAAGGAGUGACGGAGACGGAUAGUGUGACCCUCUUAAUGGAUUGAGGGCGAAGCGAAGCGGCUGGUUACCAGGCAAAUCCGGUAACUGAAAGGCUAGAGCGUGACAGGUAAGCGAAAUCUUAGGAAAGUAGCGAAGCACAUGAUGACGGCUUCCAGGAAAAGCUUCUGGCAAUGCAUAUGCGGCCCGUACCAAAACCGACACAGGUGGGCAGGGAGAGAAUCCCGAGGUGAGCGAGAGAACUGUUGCCAAGGAACUCGGCAAAAUGACUCCGUAAGUUAGCGAGAAGGAGUGCUUAAGCAAUUAAGCCGCAGUGAAGAGGCCCAAGCGACUGUUUAACUAAAACACAGCUCUCUGCGAAGUCGCAAGACGAAGUAUAGGGGGUGACACCUGCCCGGUGCUGGAAGGUUAAGAGGAUCUGUUAAGAGCGAUCUGAAGCAGUGAUCCGAAGCCCCAGUGAACGGCGGCCGUAACUAUAACGGUCCUAAGGUAGCGAAAUUCCUUGUCAGGUAAGUUCUGACCCGCACGAAAGGUGUAACGAUUUGGGCGCUGUCUCGGCAGCAGACUCGGUGAAAUCUUAGUACCUGUGAAAAUGCAGGUUACCCGCAACUAGACGGAAAGACCCCAUGGAGCUUUACUGCAGCCUGAUAUUGAAUUCUGGUCAUACAUGUACAGGAUAGGUGGGAGACAAAGAGACGUGCACGCCAGUGUACGAGGAGUCGACGUUGGGAUACCACUCUUGUGUGACCGGGGUUCUAACCUGGUAUCGAGAACAGGUACGGGGAGAGUGUCAGGUGGGCAGUUUGACUGGGGCGGUCGCCUCCCAAAGAGUAACGGAGGCGCCCAAAGGUACGCUCAGAUUGGAUGGAAACCAAUCGUCGAGUGCAAUUGCAGAAGCGUGCUUGACUGUGAGACUUACAAGUCGAACAGGGACGAAAGUCGGGAAUAGUGAUCCGGCGGUGCCGAAUGGAAGGGCCGUCGCUCAACGGAUAAAAGCUACCCU